GUAGGUGAACCUGCGGAAGGAUCAUUAACAAAUGUAAUCCAAUUACCAACCACACUGUGCACUGUUAACGUAUGCUUUUGUAGGGAGUGAAAGUCUUUCGAUCUGCCAGAGUUUUUUAAAUACUAAACAAACAAACAUCUUAUUAUCUGACUGAACUUCAUUUAAACAAAUAAAAAUACAACUUUUAACAAUGGAUCUCUUGGCUCUU
rnacentral:misc_RNA from 1 species